GGGCGUAAAGGGCUCGCAGGCGGUUCCUUAAGUCUGAUGUGAAAGCCCCCGGCUCAACCGGGGAGGGUCAUUGGAAACUGGGGAACUUGAGUGCAGAAGAGGAGAGUGGAAUUCCACGAUAUAGCGCGUGAAGAUGCAUAGCAGAUGUGGAGCGAACACCAGCUGGCGAACGGCGACUCUCUGGGUCUGUAAGCUGACGCUGCAGGAGCGAAAGCGUGGUGGAGCGAACAGGAUUAGAUACCCUGGAUAGUCCACGCCGAUAAACGAUAGAGUGCUAAGUGUUAGGGGGUUUCCGCCCCUUAGUGCUGCAGCUAACGCAUUAAGCACUCCGCCUGGGGAGUACGGUCGCAAGACUGAAACUCAAAGGAAUUGACGGGGGCCCGCACAAGCGGUGGAGCAUGUGGUUUAAUUCGAAGCAACGCGAAGAACCUUACCAGGUCUUGACAUCCUCUGACAAUCCUAGAGAUAGGACGUCCCCUUCGGGGGCAGAGUGACAGGUGGUGCAUGGUUGUCGUCAGCUCGUGUCGUGAGAUGUUGGGUUAAGUCCCGCAACGAGCGCAACCCUUGAUCUUAGUUGCCAGCAUUCAGUUGGGCACUCUAAGGUGACUGCCGGUGACAAACCGGAGGAAGGUGGGGAUGACGUCAAAUCAUCAUGCCCCUUAUGACCUGGGCUACACACGUGCUACAAUGGACAGAACAAAGGGCAGCGAAACCGCGAGGUGAAGCCAAUCCCACAAAUCUGUUCUCAGUUCGGAUCGCAGUCUGCAACUCGACUGCGUGAAGCUGGAAU
rnacentral:rRNA from 1 species